rnacentral:rRNA from 1 species
AUUGAACGCUGGCGGCAGGCUUAACACAUGCAAGUCGAACGAGUGGCGGACGGGUGAGUAAUGCUUGGGAAUCUCGCUUAUGGAGGGGGAUAACUACGGGAAACUGUAGCUAAUACCGCGUACCAUAGGAUGAGCCCAAGGGGGAUUAGGUAGUUGGGUGGGUAAAGGCUCCCCAAGCCGCCGAUCUCUAGCUGGUCUGAGAGGAUGACCAGCCACACUGGGACUGAGACACGGCCCAGACUCCGACGGGAGGCAGCAGGGGGGAAGAGUGCGCGAUGGGGGCAACCUGACGCAGCCAGGCCGCGUGAGUGAAGAAGGCUUUCGGGUUGUAAAGUUCUUUAGGUAGCGAGGCGUUAACUACAGAAGAAGCACCGGCUAACUCCGUGCCAGCAGCCGCGGUAAUUC